AGUCGAUGAUUAAGCACCUUCGGGUGUGUAUAGAGUGGCGAACGGGUGAGUAACACGUGACCAACCUGCCUCUUACAUUGGGACAACCAAAAGAAAUUCUGGCUAAUACCAAAUACUCCGCACAUAUCACAUGAUGUAUGCGGGAAAGCUUUUGCGGUAAGAGAUGGGGUCGCGGCCCAUUAGGUAGACGGCGGGGUAGAAGCCCACCGUGCCGAUGAUGGGUAGCCGGGUUGAGAGACCGACCGGCCACAUUGGGACUGAGAUGCGGCCCAGACUCCUACGGGAGGCAGCAGUGGGGAAUAUUGCGCAAUGGGGGAAACCCUGACGCAGCAACGCCGCGUGCGGGAUGAAGGCCUUCGGGUUGUAAACCGCUUUCAGCAGGGAAGACAUCGACGGUACCUGCAGAAGAAGCCCCGGCUAACUACGUGCCAGCAGCCGCGGUAAUACGUAGGGGGCGAGCGGUAUCCGGAUUCAUUGGGCGUAAAGCGCGCGCAGGCGGUUGCUCAAGCGGAACCUCUAAUCUCGGGGCUUAACCUCGAGCCGGGUUCCGAACUGGACGACUCGAGUGCGGUAGAGGCAGAUGGAAUUCCCGGUGUAGCGGUGGAAUGCGCAGAUAUCGGGAAGAACACCAACGGCGAAGGCAGUCUGCUGGGCCGUCACUGACGCUGAGGCGCGAAAGCUGGGGGAGCGAACAGGAUUAGAUACCCUGGUAGUCCCAGCCGUAAACGAUGAGCGCUGGGUGUGGGAGAUUACAUCUUCCGUGCCGAAGCUAACGCAUUAAGCGCUCCGCCUGGGGAGUACGGC
rnacentral:rRNA from 1 species